rnacentral:rRNA from 1 species
AGAGUGAACGCUGGCGGUAGGCCUAACACAUGCAAGUCGAACGGCAGCACAGUAGGAGCUUGCUCUUACGGGUGGCGAGUGGCGGACGGGUGAGGAAUACAUCGGAAUCUACCUUUUGGUGGGGGAUAACGUAGGGAAACUUACGCUAAUACCGCAUACGCCCUUCGGGGGAAAGCCGGGGACCAGCAAUGGCCUGGCGCUGAUAGAUGAGCCGAUGUCGGAUUAGCUAGUUGGUGAGGUAAUGGCUCACCAAGGCGACGAUCCGUAGCUGGUCUGAGAGGAUGAUCAGCCACACUGGAACUGAGACACGGUCCAGACUCCUACGGGAGCAGCAGUGGGGAAUAGUUGGACAAGUGGGCGCGAAGCCUGAUCCAGCCAUACCGCGUGGUGAAGAAGGCUACGGUUGUAAAGUCCGUUUGUGGAAAGUAAAGC